AAUUCAUAUAGAGAAAUUGUUACAAAUACCACAAGUUAAGUAUCACUUUUUAAAAAUAUCACCAAUAAAAAAUAUACACUAAUAUUUGGGUUUAGACUUUAGUGAUAACUGUUUAGGGUUUAGUAUUAAGGGGUUAGGAUUGGGUUUAUAAAUGUUCUAUAAAUAUUUUUUAAAAUUAACUUAGUGUUAUUUUAUCACAAAUUUAGGAUAUUUGUAAAAAUAGUCAUUCAUUAAUGAUAAAUUUGAAAAGUGAUAGAAUUGAAAUUUUCCCAUUCAUAUAUGUAAUAUUUAUUAUAAUUCCUAAUAAAAUAAUAAAGCCGUUUUAGAAGAAUUUUUAUAUCUAAAAGUACCGGAUUCAAUAAUGUUUACCUCAUUGCCUAUUUACAAAUAACAAAAUAUUAAUAAAUAUUUUAAACAUAUCAAUUAAUUAUAUAUUAGAACAUUGCAGAAAAUAGUUUGCUGAGUAAUUUGAUAGUUUAGCUGUAAUUUAUUAUUUAGUUUGUAUUUUUAAUUAUUAAUUAUUAUAAUUUUAUAUUUAUUAACUAAUAUUUUGUAAUAUGUUUUAAAUGUGUGUUUUAUAUUUAUAAGAGUUAAAUGAUCUUAGUCAACUUAUAACAUUAUUAAUCGAGGAUUAUAUUUAAAUUUUGUUAUUGGAGAUACCAAA
rnacentral:lncRNA from 1 species